CGAACGGGUGAGUAAUGCGUGACCAACCUGCCCCAUGCUCCAGAAUAGCUCUUGGAAACGGGUGGUAAUGCUGGAUGCUCCAACUUGACGCAUGUCUUGUUGGGAAAGUGUUUAGUGGCAUGGGAUGGGGUCGCGUCCUAUCAGCUUGUAGGCGGGGUAAUGGCCCACCUAGGCUUCGACGGGUAGCCGGCCUGAGAGGGCGGACGGCCACAUUGGGACUGAGAUACGGCCCGGACUCCUACGGGAGGCAGCAGCG
rnacentral:rRNA from 1 species